GACGAGCUGGAUCCCGGCGUUGGAACGGGAAGUGGGGGAGGGGAGACAAGCUCAAGGAAGACCCGGAGCGGAUUUUGCCCGUAGCGAAGUAACGGAAAGGCGCCGAGCCCGGUGAGGGGAGAAAUGGGAGAGAUCUGGAAGGGGUAUGCAAAACCCGGGUUGGAUUAGAUAGAGAUGGGAGGAACGAAGGGAGCUGCGACAGGGCCAAAUGCACCCGGGGCACGCAAAUUUCGGGCCGGAUUCUUCCUCGGGAGACGGAGUAAUGCGUCAUGCCUAAUGCAGUGGGAACAAGCAAGACCUGGCCUAGAGUUCCCAGACCUGGGCUCGCAGGGGGCUCCAGGAGGGGGCUGCUUAGCGGCUGAGGCGCGUGGGCCGUCUUCCUGGCAGCUACGUGCAAGAAGGAGGGGCAAAAGGAGGGAUGGACUCGAACACGAAAGGAUCCGGAGCGCUGGCUGCACCGAAGCGGGCAGGCCCUGUUUUGGAAGCUGAGGGUAUGAUGGUGAAUAAGAGACACAAAGUCGCUGUCCUCCUGGAGCUUGCACUUUAUUGGGGAGGCUGGUGAUUCACUAGUAACAAGAAGAAAAUUUCAGAACGUGAACAAUCCUAUGAAGGAAAAAGCAGUGAAGAAUCGUGAGAUGGGAUGUGGAUGUCAUCAACCAAGGAUCUUGAGAUGAUAGAUAUUGGAUCUAGGCUGGGCUCUAAAUCCAACGAUAGGUGUCCUUCUAAGAGGAGGAGAGGACACACGGAGAAGAAGAUGGAGGCAGAGAUGGGAGCGAUGCAGCUACAAGCCGACGAAAGCCAAGGAUGGCUCACAGCCACCAGAAGCCAGGAGAGAGGCAAGGAAGGAUUCUCCCCUGCAGCCUUCAGAGGGAGCACGGCCCUGCCCACACCUUGAUGUUGGACUUCCGGCCUCCAGAACUGUGAGACAAUAUACUUCUGUUGUCUUAAGCCACCACGUGUGUGGUAAUUUAUUACAGGAGCCCUAGGAAAUGAACGCAGUUGUGUUCUCCAGAAUGAGCUCUGAGACACCUCGAUUCCAAUGCAAGUGAUUUACCUGGAAGGCAACCGCAGGAAGCACCGGCA